UACGUAGGGGGCAAGCGUUGUCCGGAUUUAUUGGGCGUAAAGAGCGUGUAGGCGGCCGUACAGGUCAGCUGUGAAAACUCGAGGCUCAACCUCGAGACGCCGAUGGAAACCGUCUGGCUAGAGUCCGGAAGAGGAGAGUGGAAUUCCUGGUGUAGCGGUGAAAUGCGCAGAUAUCAGGGAGAACACCCGUGGCUAAGGCGGCUCUCUAGUACGGUACUGACGCUGAGACGCGAAAGCGUGGGGAGCGAACAGG
rnacentral:rRNA from 1 species